UCAAGUUAUUAAGGGUGCAGGGCGGAUGCCUUGGCACUAGGAGCCGAUGAAGGACGUGAUAAGCUGCGAUAAGCUUCGGGGAGUUGCACGUAAACUUUGAUCCGAAGAUUUCCGAAUGAGGAAACUCACUUAGAGUAAUGUCUAAGUAUCAUUAAGUGAAUACAUAGCUUAAUGAGGGGAACUCAGGGAACUGAAACAUCUAAGUACCUGAAGGAAGAGAAAGAAAUUCGAUUCCGUAAGUAGCGGCGAGCGAACGCGGAUUAGCCCAAACCAAUAAAGUUUUCUUUAUUGGGGUUGCGGACAUAUCAUAACGAAGAGGUAUCGUAAUUGAAGAGGUUUGGAAAGACCCACCACAGAAGGUAAUAGUCCUGUAUGUUAAACGAGAAGACUUCAGAUAUGAUCCAGAGUACCACGGGACACGUGAAACCCUGUGGGAAGCAGGAGGGACCACCCUCCAAGGCUAAAUACUACCUAGUGACCGAUAGCGUAUAGUACCGUGAGGGAAAGGUGAAAAGAACCCCGGGAGGGGAGUGAAAUAGAACCUGAAACCCUGCACUUACAAGCUGUGGAAGCACAUUUCUUGUGUGACCGCGUACUUUUUGUAGAACGGGCCAACGAGUUACGUUAAGUAGCAAGGUUAAGCACUUAAGGUGCGGAGCCGUAGCGAAAGCGAGUUUUAACUGAGCGUUCAGUUACUUGACGUAGACCCGAAACCGGGCGACCUACCCAUGAGCAGGAUGAAGCGAAAGUAAAAUUUCGUGGAGGUCCGAACCCACGAGCGUUGAAAAGCUCGGGGAUGACUUGUGGGUAGCGGUGAAAUUCCAAUCGAGCCCGGAGAUAGCUGGUUCUCCCCGAAAUAGCUUUAGGGCUAGCCUCAAGGUGAGAGAUACGGAGGUAGAGCACUGAAUGUCCUAGGGGGUAUUGCACCUACCGAAGACUAUCAAACUCCGAAUGCCGUCAUCUUAUACUUGGGAGUCAGACUGUGGGUGAUAAGAUUCAUAGUCGAAAGGGCAACAGCCCAGAUCGUCAGCUAAGGUCCCUAAAUGUAAGUUAAGUGGUAAAGGAUGUGGGAUUGCACAGACAACCAGGAUGUUGGCUUAGAAGCAGCCACUCAUUCAAAGAGUGCGUAAUAGCUCACUGGUCGAGUGAUCCUGCGCCGAAGAUUUCCGGGGCUAAAACUUACUACCGAAGCUACGGCAUCAUUAUGAUGGGUAGGGGAGCUUCCCAUACGGGUUGAAGCAUGACCGUAAGGACAUGUGGACAGUAUGGGAGUGAGAAUGUUGGCAUGAGUAGCGAGAUGUGGGUGAGAAUCCCACAGGCCGUAAACCCAAGGUUUCCAGGGGAAGGUUCGUCCGCCCUGGGUUAGUCGGGACCUAAGCUGAGGCCGAAAGGCGUAGGUGAUGGACAACAGGUUGAUAUUCCUGUACUACCGAUAACCGUUUGAGAGAAGGGAUGACACAGUAGGAUAAGCUAAGCACACUGUUGGUUAUGUGUGCCCAAGCAUUGAGGCAGUCAAAGCAGGCAAAUCCGCUUUGAUAAUGCUGGGAUGUGAUGGGGAGCGAAAUUUAGUAGCGAAGUAGCUGAUUUCACACUGUCAAGAAAAGUCUCUAUCGAGGUUAAAGGUACCCGUACCGCAAACCGACACAGGUGGGUGAGGAGAGUAUCCUAAGGCCAGCGAGAGAACUGUUGUUAAGGAACUCGGCAAAAUGACCCCGUAACUUAGGGAUAAGGGGUGCCACCAUCCGGUGGCCGCAGAGAAUAGGCCCAAGCGACUGUUUACCAAAAACAUAGGUUUCUGCUAAGUCGCAAGACGAUGUAUAGGAGCUGACGCCUGCCCGGUGCUGGAAGGUUAAGGGGAUCUGUUAGAGCAAUCGAAGCAGUGAACUUAAGCCCCAGUAAACGGCGGCCGUAACUAUAACGGUCCUAAGGUAGCGAAAUUCCUUGUCGGGUAAGUUCCGACCCGCACGAAAGGCGUAACGAUUUGGGCACUGUCUCAACAACAGACUCGGUGAAAUUGUAAUUCCGGUGAAGAUGCCGGAUACCUGCGACAGGACGGAAAGACCCCAUGGAGCUUUACUGUAGCUUGACAUUGGGUCUUGGUACUACAUGUACAGGAUAGGUGGGAGGCUUUGAAACCAGGACGCCAGUUUUGGCGGAGCCAUCCUUGGGAUACCACCCUUGUAGUACUGGGACUCUAACCAUAGGCCAUGAAUCUGGUCUUGGGACACUGUCAGGUGGGCAGUUUGACUGGGGCGGUCGCCUCCCAAAAGGUAACGGAGGCGCUCAAAGGUUCUCUCAGUACGGUCGGAAAUCGUACGUAGAGUGUAAAGGCAAAAGAGAGCUUGAUUGCAAGACAUACAGGUCGAGCAAGGAUGAAAAUCGGACUUAGUGAUCCGGUGGUUCUGCGUGGAAGGGCCAUCGCUCAACGGAUAAAAGCUACCCUGGGGAUAACAGGCUUAUCUCCCCCAAGAGUCCACAUCGACGGGGAGGUUUGGCACCUCGAUGUCGGCUCAUCACAUCCUGGGGCUGUAGUAGGUCCCAAGGGUUGGGCUGUUCGCCCAUUAAAGUGGUACGCGAGCUGGGUUCAGAACGUCGUGAGACAGUUCGGUCCCUAUCCGUCGCAGGCGUAGGAAAUUUGAGAAGACCUGUCCUUAGUACGAGAGGACCGGGAUGGACGUACCUCUGGUGUACCAGUUGUUCUGCCAAGGGCAUGGCUGGGUAGCUAUGUACGGAAUGGAUAAGCGCUGAAAGCAUCUAAGCGCGAAGCCAACUUCAAGAUAAGAUUUCCCACCGCAAGGGUAAGGCCCCAGAAAGACUAUCUGGUUGAUAGGUCGAAGGUGUAAGUGCAGCAAUGUAUUUAGCUUAUCGAUACUAAUAGGUCGAGGACUUGACCAA
rnacentral:rRNA from 1 species